rnacentral:rRNA from 1 species
UACGAAUGGAGCGAGCGUUGUUCGGAAUCACUGGGCGUAAAGGGUGCGCAGGCGGUCAUGAAAGUUAGAAGUGAAAUCCCAGGGCUUAACCUUGGAAUUGCUUUUAAAACUCCAUGACUAGAGUACUGGAGAGGUUGGCGGAAUUCCGAGUGUAGAGGUGAAAUUCGCAGAUAUUCGGAGGAACACCAAUGGCGUAGGCAGCCAACUGGACAGUAACUGACGCUCAUGCACGAAAGCGUGGGGAUCAAACAGG